rnacentral:rRNA from 1 species
GCUUCAUACAUGCAAGUCGAGGGGCAGCAUAAAUUACUUGUAAUUUGAUGGCGACCGGCGAACGGGUGCGUAACGCGUAUGCAACUUACCUUUUACUAGAGAAUAGCCAAGAGAAAUUUUGAUUAAUGCUCUAUACACUUAUUAAUUCUCAUGAAUCUAUAAGAAAAGCUCCGGCGGUAAAAGAUGGGCAUGCGUCCUAUUAGCUUGUAGGUGAGGUAAUGGCUCACCUAAGCUCCGAUAGGUAGGGGUCCUGAGAGGGAGAUCCCCCACACUGGUACUGAGACACGGACCAGACUUCUACGGAAGGCAGCAGUAAGGAAUAUUGGACAAUGGAGGCAACUCUGAUCCAGCCAUGCCGCGUGAAGGAAGACGGCCUUAUGGGUUGUAAACUUCUUUUAUACAGGAAGAAACCUUUCCACGUGUGGAAAGCUGACGGUACUGUAAGAAUAAGGAUCGGCUAA